CAACCGGGUCCAAAAAGUACCUUUCUGACCACUUCUUCCAAACAGGUACAUAAAAGUCUUGUUUCAAUUCAAAAGGGAUUCUGUCAAAAAAAGUGAUUGAAUUCAAAUGGAUUGACCCCCAUUCUCUUGUACAAGGCUGAGUGACUGUUCAUACAAGUAAAACAGCCCCACCACGUCACAAACCUGUCUGACUAGCCAGUGCUGUUUUUGACAAAAAUCUUCAACAGAAAGACUAAGUCAGAGACAAAAACUGAGGACACAGCAUUGUUGAAACUGUUAAAGGCAAAACACCCUCCAUCUGCAACACAAUCUCAGGAUUUAGGAUGUUGUAGUUGCCGAUAUAGAUAUUUCCUGAAUGGAUUUGAUGUCUUUAUAGAGAAUGAUGGACAACUCGAUUAAUACCUCAAACGGACUGGAAUUGACUCCCAACCAUGCGUACAGGUGAAAAUGACAUGCCCAAACUGACCUCUUGACUUGACCUCUGAUAGGUCAGGGCUCAGAUUGGAAUACCCCCAAAAAUACAGACCAGUCUAAACCCCUCAACAUGUCUUUCCCGGAACACUUCACGUCCCCCUUACCCCCCAGACCAGAGGCCAAACCCCGGCCCCCCAUCUCUAGAAAAACCCCUUCCUCCAAUGGAGCCCCCUCCACCCCCUCCCAGCUCGGAGAGAUGGGCAGCACAGACCACAAUUCGGGGGGGAAUGUCAACAGCAUUGUGAGUAAGUUCAGCCACCCAGAGACUACACCAACCACCAGUGGAGAUGCUAAACUAACCACCAAUCCAACUCUCCGGACCCGGGGGCCCAGGAGGGCCCCCACAGUCAAACCCAAACCGACCCGGCACUCUGUCCAGCAGUCUGGGGGUCCAGACCAGGCUCCUCCACUGCCCAUGAAUAGGAGCCGGAUCCUGUGGCAGGCCAAAAGAGAGACCCCUGGAGGAGAGGAGGGAAAUGGCAUCACAGUCAGUCGAUCAGCACCUGGCGGAAAGGAGGUAGAGCGACAGCUGAUUGGAGGAGUGGAAGCAGAGGCGGAGCACGGUUCAGACACGCCCCUUAACCCAUGCUUUGACUGGGAAUGCAGCUGUGUUUGCCACGUCCACAUGCCCGGCAUGAAGCUGGUAUGGGUGCCCAUCGAUGAGGAAGAGAAAGAAGAUGAAAAGGAGGAGGAGGUUAAGCUGGAAAGGGAGGAGGAAGAGAGUGGAGGAGAGGGGACCUCCUUGGCCAUAAAAUGCCCCCCCACCCCCCCUAAACAGACCCAAUCUUUCCCAAGCCCUUUUAAAGGUUCCAUAGAGGAGGAUGAAGAGUCUAUAUAUGAAACUACUCUACUAAUGGUGGAUCCAACACCUAAAGAUCUGUCAAGAACUGGACAUUCCCCUUAUCAAGGUUCAGAAACCUGUCCAUUGGUCAAAACUGUCCUCCAGCAACUCGGAGGACAACACUUCGGUCCAGUCCGAUUCGGACCCAUCCCAAACCCAGACUACUGA
rnacentral:lncRNA from 1 species